rnacentral:rRNA from 1 species
UACGAAGGGUGCAAGCGUUAAUCGGAAUUACUGGGCGUAAAGCGUGCGUAGGCGGUUUGUUAAGUCUGCUGUGAAAUCCCCGGGCUCAACCUGGGAAUGGCAGUGGAUACUGGCAAGCUAGAGUGUGUCAGAGGAUGGUGGAAUUCCCGGUGUAGCGGUGAAAUGCGUAGAGAUCGGGAGGAACACCAGUGGCGAAGGCGGCUAUCUGGGCUGAAACUGACGCUGAGGCGGCGAAAGGCUAGGGGAGCAAACAGG